rnacentral:SRP_RNA from 2 species
CCGUGCUAGGUGGGGAGCCAGCGGUGCCCUGCACCUGCAAUCCGCUACAGCAGGACCGAACGCCGCCUUCGGCGCAGGUCGUGGAAGGCAAGUUGCGUGUAAGUGACGUUGACCUCAGGGUCUUGUGCAACGCUCUACUGUGAACCGUGUCAGGGCCUGACCGCAGCAGCACUAAGCAGAUCUUUGCGUGUGCCACAAGUGAGCUUUGAGCGAGUUAACUGCCCGCGAGACUCUUCG